rnacentral:misc_RNA from 1 species
CACGUAGGAUCCAAGCGUUAUCCGGAUUUACUGGGCGUAAAGCGCGUGCAGGUGGUUUACUAAGUUGGGUGUUAAAGCUCCUGGCUCAACUGGGAGUUGUCGCUCAAAACUAGCAGACUAGAGGAUGGUAGAGUUCCAGGUGUAGCGGUGAAAUGCGUAGAGAUCUGGAGGAAUACCGAUGGCGAAGGCAGCCAUCUGGCCUAAUACUGACGCUGAGGUACGAAAGCAUGGGGAGCAAACAGG